UGCUGGAGUCUACAGUUGAUCAUUCCCAGCUCUGCUGCUGAUUAAACCGUUGUUCCACCAUGCACCUGUCCUGUCUUUCGGCAAGUGGCUUUUCUAAAUGCAGAUCGAAGCUGAUGAACAACCAGAGUGGUUGAAAGCUGUUUACUGACUGCAGAAGUAGGGUUUGAGUUUUGGUCCCCUUUUAAAGUUUUCCAUGGGGUGUGUGUUCACUUUUAGGGAGCCACUGUGUUUGCAAGCCUCGAUGGUCAUACAGGAAGCCCGCACACAUGCUGGCCAGAUGAUUUCCUUGAAGGAUCCCCCAGCACAACACGCCAAACCUGUUCCACUUCAGCAGCUCAUGGAUGUGUUCUUCUGUUAACCUCAUUCUAUGUUGCCUCCAUUUCACUGCCUGUUUCUUCCACGCCGGUCCCAUGUCCUGUUCCCUUCAUGACAACUUUGUCUUUCUGGUUCAACACCAACUGAAUCAAACGUCUGCAGGAGCAGAACUCGACGACAUGCUGGAGAGGAAAUUCAGCCACUUGAAUUUGCUGUGUUGGAACAGGAACACAUCUAAAACACGCAGGAUACCAGUCCUUGAGGAAUGGAGUAGAUGCUGCCAAAGACUUGAGAUUGUUAUGGACUUUCACUUUCCAUCAGAGUAAGUCUAAACACGCAGCCAGAGCUGCAAUGAAAGGAUUUAGAUCAAAGCAUAUUCAUGUGUUGGAAAGGCCCAAUCAAAGUCCAGACCUGAAUCCAACUGAGAAUCUGCAGCAUGGCUGGAAAACUAAUGUUGACAGACUCAUCCGAUCUAACGGCGCUUGAGCUUUUUUGCAACAUAGAAUUCACAUAAAUUUCAGUCUAUAGAUGUCCAAAGCUGAUGGAGACUUUUCAAAGAAACUGGUUGCACAGAAUGUUAUUUUGGGGUUGAAAAGAGUAAAAGAGGCUGCAUAGCCACACUUGAGAUUGUUCUUAAAUCAAAGUUUUUACUUCUACUUUACAAUAACUGCUCUGUAUUGUUCCAAAUAUAACAGUUUGUGGUAGUCAAGUCUUAAAACUGGAAAAGGUUCAAGGGGUUUUCAUAGUUUUGCUAAAUUCUGUAACGGUAUUUAAAAAUAAAAACACGUUUGCAAGGUGAGACUGAAUGCAUGGCCACUGUCUGCUGCCUAGAGAGCCAGAGGCCCCAGGGGGAUUUGCAGGCAUCCAAACACAGCGACUUCACUCUGCUGCUGUUGUCAGAUUUAGUAUCAGCAGACGGCCAAGAGAAGUCGCUAGGAAGAAAAAAAAAAAGUGUACUUCGGCUGGUUUGAAUGCCUAACUGUGCAUACGAGCUUUCAAAGAGUCCUCUUUCAUGUCUGUGACGUCCGAGCAUUUCUGUGCCGAAAGUAUCUCGGGGAGAGAAACGCUACUCCAGCACAACCCUGCUGUCAGCCACAAUGCAGAUGGAGAAUCUGCCCCUUGUGCACUCUCCAUGAAGUACGUACUUGCAUAGAUGGCUCUAUUC